rnacentral:tRNA from 1 species
GGGGUAUUAGCUCAUUUGGCUAGAGCGCCUGCUUUGCACGCAGGAGGCGGUUGGUUCGAAUCCUACAUACUCUA